UGGCAUCGUUACAUAUACUUGAGCAGUAGAACCUGUCUCUUGAUGAUCUAUGCUUGCACACUGCCAGAGGCAUCUUGUCUACAUCUCUGUUGCAGACAUAACCCACAUUUCUCCAAACAUAGCCCAUCCUCUGUAUCUUUUAAGUUCUCUUCUUCCAGCUCAUUAUCCAUCUAAACCUAGGACAUAAAAUUGAAGCCACUCCCAUACUUCCAAGAUUUCCAGAGGCAACAAUGACCACUGUAGCUUGCAGUGGUCAUGAAUGACAACUGUUUCUGUGAAGCAUCUAAGACUAAUCUUGAGAAGAAAUUGAAUAUAUCUCAUCCUCAGUCUCACCUCAGUGUAUAGAUUCUUCUACGUCAUCUACAUCCUGGCAUUCUAACAGGAGAAAAGUGAAUAACUUUUAAUUCUUUUAGAAUGCAGAUAGGGUAGUUUCCCAGAAUUAGCGGGGAAAAGAUGAGGUUCAUUGUUUUCAAGACAAAGAGGUCUGGAUAUUGAUUUUCAUGCCAAGAAGGUUUUGCUCAAAGGGUCAGCACAUGAAAUAUUUCUCUCACAGUAUGCCAUUGUCAAAUAGAGUUUAUGGGUAUUACUGUGUCAUUGUUGGGAACUGGAUUGCACAUGUACUAGGACCUCCCUAAUUUGACCGUCCCUGUUGGAAUUUAUUUGCAGCAAAAGAAAUGACGCAAAUGAAGGGUGGUUGCUGGGACUUAAUCUGCCCCAGCAGGAUCAGUGGGUGCUUUCCACCUCAAGUAGAGCCUGAGUUGGUACCAGGGCUGAUCAUGGGUGAAUAUUGUUGGUGCAUUGUCAUGAAAGCCAAGCUGGCUAUGCAGCAGCAUUAUCCUGGUGGUGGCUGGACGAUAGUGCUGGAAGAGUACUCGUGGUGCACAAGGUUUGGAGUCUAUGGGAAUUCCCUUGAGGACAGAGUGCCACAUGAAGCCAAACCUGCAUUGUGUGAAAACCGAUCUCUAGCUGAAGGGCAUCGCAUCACAGCAUGCACACACCUUGCAGAUGCACCUUACAUGUGGCAUGCCUCCUGGGGGGACAAGCUGGAAAUACUGUCCCAGGCCUGGGCCAGGGUCCAGCAGCCCUUAGCCCAGCAGUCCAUCCACUGGAUAGAGGCCAUUGAGGGGUAUGAUACCUCCUCCCAAAAGGAUGAAGUGGUAUCUGCAGACAGAGCUGAGGUUAUCCCCAGGGUGUGUGGAGAUCCACCCCCACUGGAAGGGCCAGAUGCCAUCGUGCCUAUCCUCAAGGAUGAUGGGUCCUACAUGCUCUGUGGAUACUGGGCAGAUGAACCUGAAGCACCAGCCCAGGCCUGGGCUAGGGCCUGGCACUUUACAACCCAGCAACCCCUCUGCUGUGCUGAGGCCAUUGUGGUGGAAGACUCCUCAAACAAAAAGGAGAAAGUCAAGGGGGCAUCCUCAGAUCAGGCUGAGGCUAUGUCCAGGGUGGGUGAAGAUCCACCCCCACUGGAAGGGCCAGAUGUCAUCGUGCCUAUCCUCAAGGAUGACGGAUCCUACCUGCUCUGUGCAUAUUGGGCAGAUGAGCCUGAAGCCCCAGUCCAGGCCUGGGCUGGGGCCCUGCACCCUACAGCCCAGCAGCCCACCUGCUGUGCUGAGGCCAUUCUCGGUGAGUCUUUGAUGUGACUCUAGCUGCAGACCUGAUAAACCUCCUGAGUGCACUCCUAUAACCCUGGCCUGGUGCUCUGACUCCACUCAUCAUCUGGAAUCCUAGGGAAUGUACUGAGGAUUCCAUCCUGUGGUUGCCUGUGCUGGCUCGUGCCUCUCAGGAUCUACUAAGAACCACAGUGUCAGCAUGGCACCAAAAGGCUCCUGUGUGUGUGGAGCCCUGAGGGUUCACAUGUUCAUAUUGUGGCACAGUGGAGGAAUCUGGGAGUCCCUCACCAUGGCUUAGGAUUGGAUGAGCCCCCAUUGUGUGGUUGGUCACUUAAAACACAUCUGGGUGUCAGCGCCAUGGUGCAGUAGGUUAAUCCUCUGCCUGCAGUGCCAGUACCCCAUAUGGGCACCUGUUCUAGUCCUGGCUGCUUCACUUCCAGUAUAGCUCUCUGCUAUGGCCUGGGAUAGUAAUAUAAGAUUGCCCAAGUCCUUGGGCCCCUGCACCUGCAUGGGAGAACAGGAAGAAGUGCCUGGCUCCUGGCUUCAGAUUGGCACAGCUCUGGCUGUUGUGGCCAUCUGGGGAGUGAACCAAUGUAAGGAAGACCUUUCUCUGUCUCUCCCUCUCACUGUAACCCUAACUCAAUUAAAAUAAAUAAAAUCUUUAAAAAAGUAACA
ensembl:lncRNA